rnacentral:rRNA from 1 species
AGAGUUUGAUCCUGGCUCAGGACGAACGCUGGCGGCGUGCUUAACACAUGCAAGUCGAACGGAGUACCUUGGAAAGAGAUUUCGGUCAAUGGAAGAGGAUACUUAGUGGCGGACGGGUGAGUAACGCGUGAGGAACCUACCUCUCAGAGGGGGACAACAGUUGGAAACGACUGCUAAUACCGCAUAAUAUAUCUGUAUCGCAUGGUAUGGAUAUCAAAGAUUUAUCGCUGAGAGAUGGCCUCGCGUCUGAUUAGCUGGUUGGUAGGGUAACGGCCUACCAAGGCGACGAUCAGUAGCCGGACUGAGAGGUUGGCCGGCCACAUUGGGACUGAGAUACGGCCCAGACUCCUACGGGAGGCAGCAGUGGGGAAUAUUGGGCAAUGGGCGCAAGCCUGACCCAGCAACGCCGCGUGAAGGAAGAAGGCUUUCGGGUUGUAAACUUCUUUUAAGAGGGAAGAGCAGAAGACGGUACCUCUUGAAUAAGCCACGGCUAACUACGUG